rfam:Wallemia ichthyophaga EXF-994 unplaced genomic scaffold scaffold1, whole genome shotgun sequence.
GCACGCAUCGGAUAGUGGUAUUCCGUCACGUUCAGGCUUCUAAGUACAUCGUGAUGCCUCAGGCGUCCUGGGUUCGAAUCCCAGUGCGUGCA